GGGCUUGUAGCUCAGCUUGGUCAGAGCGGCGGUCUUAUAAUACCAAUAAGAAAGCCGUAGGUCGAGAGUUCAAAUCUCUCCAGGCCCA
rnacentral:tRNA from 1 species